rnacentral:rRNA from 1 species
GACGAACGCUGGCGGCGUGCCUAACACAUGCAAGUCGAGCGAGUGAAUCUCCUUCGGGAGUGAAGCUAGCGGCGGACGGGUGAGUAACACGUGGGCAACCUGCCUCAUAGAGGGGAAUAGCCUUCCGAAAGGGAGAUUAAUACCGCAUAAGAUUGUAGCUUCGCAUGAAGUAGCAAUUAAAGGAGCAAUCCGCUAUGAGAUGGGCCCGCGGCGCAUUAGCUAGUUGGUGAGGUAAUGGCUCACCAAGGCGACGAUGCGGAGCCGACCUGAGAGGGUGAUCGGCCACAUUGGGACUGAGACACGGCCCAGACUCCUACGGGAGGCAGCAGUGGGGAAUAUUGCACAAUGGGGGAAACCUUGAUGCAGCAACGCCGCGUGAGUGAUGACGGCCUUCGGGUUGUAAAGCUCUGUCUUCAGGGACGAUAAUGACGGUACCUGAGGAGGAAGCCACGGCUAACUACGUGCCAGCCGCCGCCGUAAUAC